GAGAGGAGAGGAGAGGAGGUGAGAGGAGAGGAGGGACACCUGAGAGGGGAUUUGAACUGUCGCAUGCAGAGUGGACAGGUGUCCAUGAACGCAUCAUUUGGUCACCAAACAGGCUUUUAUUUUGAAACUGGUCCCGGAAGUACUCGUCUCUGCCCCGCCGUAACGAUGUGAUGUGUUCGGAGCGAAGCUGCUCGGUAAAUCGGAACCAAACCCGCCGUCAGUUCGAGUUAAAUGGAGAUGGACCGACACCGGAACCGGCUGGACGUGGCUCUGAAACCGGAAGCGAAGCUCCGAGCGGAAGCUCUGCCUUCAGACGUCCGCAAAGUGAUCGUCGGUGAAGAAGAGCAGCAGGAGUGGAGCCCCGGUCCGGAUCCAGUAGAACCUCCACACAUAAAAGAGGAGCAGGAGGAGGCAUGGAGCGGUCAGGGGGAGGUGACAUCAUUUCCUGUCCCUGUGAAGAGUGAAGAUGAUGAUGAAGAUAAACCUCAGUCCUCACAGCUUCAUCACAUGGAAACAGAAGAUGAUGGAGAGGACUGUGGAGGACCAGAACCAGACAGAACCUCAGAUCCAGACCGACGUUUAGAGACUGAAGACUCGUCUGAGACGGAGGUCAGUGAUGGAGAGUGGGAGGAGAGCCGCGAAUCUCCGUCAGCACUCAGCUCCAUGAGGAGCCUCCUGGCCGUGGAGAGGUCGUUCAGCUGUUCAGAAUGUGGCCAAAGGUUCGGCCGCAAGCCACACCUGAAUGCGCACAUGAGGAUCCACACGGGGGAGAAACCCUUCAGCUGCUCCUUCUGCGGGAAAAGGUUCUCUCAGAAGGGAAACUCCAUCAGUCACAUGAGGCUGCACACGGGAGAGAAACCCUUCAGCUGCUCCGUGUGUCACAAACGCUUCAGGUACAGCGGCGACGUCAGCCGACACAUGAGGAUCCACACGGGGAAGAAACGCUGCAACCGCAACGUCAGCGACUCCAUCAGCAAGGACAUUCACACAGAAUCAGAACCAGACAGACCUCCAGACCCAGUCAGUGAUGAUAACCCUCCAGCUGAGCCUGAAGUCGGCGACGACGGCUUGAUCAAAGAGUCGUAUCGCUGCUCCGAGUGCAGCCGAACGUUCUGCCGCCGCGACCACCUGAUGAGUCACAUGAGGACGCACACGGGAGAGAAACCGUUCAGCUGCUCCGUCUGUCAGAAACGCUUCAGCUGCAGCGGGAAUAUCCUGGCUCACAUGAGGAUACACACCGGAGAGAAACCCUUUGAGUGCUCCUUCUGCGGGAAGAGCUUCAGUCAGAAGGGAACUCUGCAGCUCCACAUGAGGAUCCACACGGGGGAGAAACCUUUCAGCUGCCCCUUCUGCGACAAACGUUUCGCUCAUAAGCGCCGCAUGACACUGCACAUGUCGGUGCACACGGAGGAGAAACGCUUCAGCUGCACCGCGUGUGAUAAACGUUUCACGUGGUACACGCAGCUCAAAACACACAAGUGUGUUGGCGAGUCGUCACAGCCCCGGCCGAGCCAGGCAGAGAAAAAAGUUCCCGCCAAAGAGACGUUCAGCUGCAGCGAGUGCGGGAAAAUGUUCAGCCUGAAAGGAAACCUGAAGACUCACAUGAGGAUCCACACGGGGGAGAAACCCUUCAGCUGCUCCGUGUGCGGGAAAGGCUUCAAGCAGAACGUUCACCUGACGGAGCACAAGACCAUCCACACCGGAGAGAAACUCUACAAGUGCAGCGUGUGCGGGAAAGGCUUCAAUAAGAAACUGCUCCAUAAAAACCACACCUGUGUUUGAUCUCACAGGUAAAGACCAGCAGGGGGUGACUGUCAGCGACUCAAUCCUCCAUGAUUUGUACUUUAUGUAGUUCUCUGUGUACUCUGUAUGUAGUACUCUAUGUAGUACCCUGUGUACUUUCUGCUGUAGCGCCCGUCAUGAACUCACCUCGACCUCUUCAGCUCAGAGCUGGUGGAGACGUGUCCGACACUCACAGUACACUGACUGUAGACAGGACAGACAGGGUGGACACAGUGAUGGACGAGGACGGAGACAGAUGGAGACAGACAGAGACAGGCGGAGAAUCAGCCAUGUUACACUUGAACUUCAGCAGUGACAUCACAAACAGUCUGAUGACAGGAAGCAGCUCAGCCAAUAGCAGGCCUCCACGGUCACAGCUCGUCAUCAGGUGCGCUUCAAUACGCUGAAACAAAUAUGUAGAUUAAUGAUGUCACAUUACCAUGGCAACAUUACUGUAAAGUGUGGAGUGGAGGCGCAGUGUUGUGCCGGAGCUUCACACAGAACACGUUUAACUUACUUCAAUUCAUUAAGUUUAUUUAGUUUAAAUUAAUUUAGUUUGAUUUAAUUUUGUUUGUAGUAAACUCUGAAGUCCUUCAAACGACCAGAAAACGUUAAACUGACAAACAAGUCUGUAAAGAAGCAACUACAACAGUACAGUCAGCGCGUUCUCUGCUCGUUCUCUGUACGUUCUCUGUACGUUCUCUGCUCAGUCCACUCUCUCUGUUUCCACAAACACAGCGUGAUGCAGCCGUGGAAGAAAACAAAGAUGAUCAACAGAGUUAAUGUUAGACUAACGUUAGAGUAACGUUCAGGUUAGAUUGUGUGGGCUUAUAAACUCCAUGAAUUUUACAUCAUCAGGUCGUCCACUCAUCAGAAGAUCGGCGGUUCGAUGCCCUCCAAUCAAUGUCGAAGUGUCCUAAGACCCCGAAGCAAGAAACUGAACCCGAACUGUGUGUGUGUGUGUGUGUGUGUGUGUGUGUGUGUGAACGAGAUAUGUCCUGUAAAGCGCUUUGAGUGGUCGGAAAACUAGAAAGGAGAAAUAUAAGUACUGUCCAUUUACCGUUGAUGAUGUCAUCAAUCAGCUGUUCAGGUUGGACACAAUGUAACGUUAAUCUAACGUUGUUCAGAGGUUGUGCUGCAGACUGAGCUUUGAACAAAGAAACUUUACGGACACCAACGAUGGUCUUUGAUCUUUAAUUAUCAGCUGAUUGAUGUGAGACAGGAAACAUGAGAUCAGUAAUGAGUCAUGAACCAGGAUAUGACAUCAUGUGUCUGUACAUUAUUUUACAGUCGGUGUUCAUCAUGAUGAAGCUGCAGCUGAUGAGACGUGAUGACG